rnacentral:misc_RNA from 1 species
GAGCUCUUCUUCAUCCUCACCUCCAUCUGGCUGAACCAGUUUUACUACCUCUUCGGUUUCCUCUUCAUCGUUUUUGUCAUCCUGAUAGUCACCUGUGCCGAAAUAACCAUCGUACUAUGCUAUUUCCAGUUAUGCAGUGAGGACUACUUAUGGUGGUGGAGAUCCUACUUGACAUCAGGCUCGUCCGCACUUUACCUGUUCCUUUACGCUACCUUCUACUUCUUCACUAAGCUUGACAUCACUAAGCCUGUUUCUGGGAUCUUAUAUUUUGGUUACAUGUUGAUUGCUUCAUAUGCAUUCUUCGUCCUCACUGGUACCAUCGGUUUCUACGCAUGCUUCUGGUUCACAAGACUCAUCUACUCGUCUGUGAAGAUCGAUUGAUCCUCCAGUUCACUGGUUUGUCUGUCAACAUGAAUGCUGUAGAAGAUUACAAUUGAAUAUCCAAAGUAAUUUGAACAUAAGAAUAUUACAAUGUCUUAGUAAAAUUUUCCAGUAUUUAGUUCAGAACAAAAAGCUUCCUUUUUUGUUCAAUAGAGUUCAGAUGAAAUGUUC